rnacentral:rRNA from 1 species
GGGGAAUUUUCCGCAAUGGGCGCAAGCCUGACGGAGCAAUACCGCGUGAGGGAGGAAGGCUCUUGGGUCGUAAACCUCUUUUAUCAGGGAAGAACACAAUGACGGUACCUGAUGAAUCAGCAUCGGCUAACUCCGUGCCAGCAGCCGCGGUAAUACGGAGGAUGCAAGCGUUAUCCGGAAUUAUUGGGCGUAAAGCGUCCGCAGGUGGUUUUGAAAGUUUGCUGUCAAAGCGCGAGGCUCAACUUCGUACCGGCGGUGAAAACUUCAAGACUAGAGUUUGGUAGGGGUCACGGGAAUUCCCAGUGUAGCGGUGAAAUGCGUAGAUAUUGGGAAGAACACCAGCGGCGAAAGCGCGUGACUGGGCCUGAACUGACACUCAUGGACGAAAGCUAGGGGAGCGAAAGGGAUUAGAUACCCCUGUAGUCCUAGCCGUAAACGAUGACAACUAGGUGUUGCCCGUAUCGACCCGGGCAGUGCCGUAGCCAACGCGUUAAGUUGUC